rnacentral:rRNA from 1 species
GACGAACGCUGGCGGCGUGCUUAACACAUGCAAGUCGAACGAAGAGCGACGGAAGCUUGCUUCUAUCAAUCUUAGUGGCGAACGGGUGAGUAACGCGUAAUCAACCUGCCCUUCAGAGGGGGACAACAGUUGGAAACGACUGCUAAUACCGCAUACGAUCUAACCUCGGCAUCGAGGAUAGAUGAAAGGUGGCCUCUACAUGUAAGCUAUCACUGAAGGAGGGGAUUGCGUCUGAUUAGCUAGUUGGAGGGGUAACGGCCCACCAAGGCGAUGAUCAGUAGCCGGUCUGAGAGGAUGAACGGCCACAUUGGGACUGAGACACGGCCCAGACUCCUACGGGAGGCAGCAGUGGGGAAUCUUCCGCAAUGGACGAAAGUCUGACGGAGCAACGCCGCGUGAGUGAUGACGGCCUUCGGGUUGUAAAGCUCUGUUAAUCGGGACGAAAGGCCUUCUUGCGAAUAGUGAGAAGGA